GCCUUGUUUAGUUGGGGAAUUUGGGAGGUGCCAAAUUACUGUUACAGCACUGUAGCACACUGUAGCGUUUCGUUUGUAUUUGUGAAUUAUUGUUCAAAUAUUGACUAAUUAGGCUCAAAAGAUUCGUCUCGCAAAGUACAACAAAACUGUGCAAUUAGUUUUUAAUUUCAUCUACAUUUAGUACUCCAUGCAUGUACCGCAAGUUUGAUGUGAUGGGGAAUCUUCUUUUUGCAUAGUGUCAAAGUUGGGAGUUGGGAGUAACUAAACAUGGC
rnacentral:lncRNA from 1 species